AUUUCCUUUGGGGUACAGAUAAAACAUUAGUAUAUCAAAGUAACACAAAGACAAUCAAUGAACUGAAGACAGUGAUAAUUGAUUAUCUGUAUUUCAUUACUCAUGAAACAUUGGCAAAGAUGUUAACAAAUAAAUGUAAAGGUGUUGAACUAUGGCUUCAAGAAAGAAAGAAACAUUUCCAGCACCUACUGUGAUACUGGUUCUCCUUUGUGAUGAAAUUUACCUAACAUAAUGAAGAACUUCUUAAAACUAUCACCAGGAUGUGUCAUUGAUAUUAUUUAUGUACAUCUCCAUAAACAGUUCAGCCACACCAUUGAUCCACGUCAAGUGUCCUAGUAUUUCAUACCUAAAAUGGGAUCAGCUUGAGUAUGAACUGAGCAUUAGGCAACAAAAUGUUCAUGGUACAGUGGGGGAGCUGGCAGUCAGGCUAUGGGCAGUGUUGUCAACACCACUCUCCAUUUCUGUUGGCGAGGUGAGCCAAAAUUUACAGGCUAUUAUGGUAGCAUUGAAUCAGUUACAAGAAAAUCUCUCCUAUCUCCAAAAUAAUCAACCACCUGAGAAGCAGUUAAAGCAUAUUCCUCCACAAUUAGUCCACCUGGGCAGUAGGAUAAAGGAUCUUAAACUUCUAGAACUGAGCCCUGAGAAUCUUUUGUUUGAUUUGCAAAUCCAAACUGCAGCUUUAGAGUUAGAAAGUGUGGCUGAUAAAAAUAAUAUAGAAUGUGUUUCUGACAAUCCAAUAGCAUGGUGUAGUUGUGUACAGGCAGCCACCACACAUACCUUAACAAUUUGUUUGUGUGGCUGUAGGGCAUGAACUAUUGUGUGGGUGUCACACCUUAAUUAUGUGUGGUUUAUUGAAUAUGGCCACUUAUGUAGAUUAUCUCCAGUACAUCCCUUGAUUGAGAGAUGUCGGAUGGCCAAUGGUCAAGAGUUACCUCUGUGCAGGAAGUGCGGAGAAAUAUUUCUGUGUGUGGAUUUUCAUGGCCUGUCUAGUUUUUAUUAGUUAAUUAGUUAAUGGACUGGUGCCUGACUUAAUUCCAGGGUAUGAUUUCAUCCGUAAGACCAGUAUGAUGUUAGAUUUUGGUACCCGGACCUUUUAUUUCAAAUUUUCCCCCAACAAUAGAACAGCCUUUUGUUCAUGUUUUCAUAUGGGGAUGGGACGUGACACCAGUAGUAAAACCUGCCUGCUUGGUGUAGACCACCUCUCUAAUCAACAAGGGAAACAGUUAAGUGAACUUUUGGGAGAAUUUCCUGAUGUACUUUGUGACAGGUUUGGAUUUACAGAUGUCAUUAGAUACCAUAUAUCCUGGAUGACAUGCCGGUUUGCCAGUCUCUAUAUUGCUUUUCACCACCUAAGAUAAAGAUAUUGUGGCACAAAACUGAGGGCUUGUUAAAAGACAGAGUCAUAAGACCAGCCACCUCACCCUAUGCUUCCCCCCAUUUUCUUAGUACCUAAAGAUCAGGGGGCAAGAUUUCCGACUUGUGGUUGAUUACAGGCUUUUCAAUAAAAAGGUGAUCUUGAAAUCGGUGCCACUGCCUGAUCUCCACAACUGUUUCACCUGGUUUUCUGGAGCAUCUGGGUUCAUGGUCCUAGAUCUUAAUCAGUCUUAUUGCCAGAUACCUUUAUAAUGGAAGAAUCUAAGCAUCUCACCGCCUUCGCCACAAAUUGGAAUUUAUAUGAGUUCAACCAAGUUUCAUUUGAUUUGUCAACCAGUGAAGCAGUUUUAUUCUGUUUAUUGGAUAAAAGUUUUGGUGAUUUAAAGUUUAAUUGUGUCUUCAAUUAUUUGGAUGAUGUGGUCAUAUUUAGCGCCUCCUUUGAAAAGCAUUUAGAGGACAUCCAGAAGGUGCUAUCCAGGCUCAGGGAUGUUGGGUGUGAAACCAACAAAGAUAACCCUGGUUAAGCACCAGGUGUAAUUUUUGCAAAUUAGCAUUGAUCAGGAAUGAACUAAGGCACUGAGGAAUUUUCCGCAGCCAUGAAAAUUUGCUUCCCGACAUCUGGAGGGGCCUGAGCUCGAUUACUCAGUAUAUGAGUGCGAAGCGUUAGCUGUGUUAUUUGCCCUGGAAAAAUUUUGGUUGUAUCUCGAACAUCAUGAAUUUGACCUAGAGACAGGUGGUUCAGGCCACUGUGGGUGGUGGUUACAAAUAAUGCCCCUGGCUUUCUGGCAAUGUCAUUUAGACAAUUCUGUUUUGGUAAUGGGAUAAAACAUGUUACCACCACACCUUUUUAUCCUCAGGCUUCCUUUGCCAAAAGAAUUAACUGCAACUUGAAGUCAGCAUUGAUUAUUUAACACCAUAAAUCGCCAAAGAAGUGGGAUACCAUCUUGCCCUGGUUAAACUUAGUGUUUAACUCUGUGCGGCAUGAAGCAGCCCAGGCCACCCCAGCUAGGCUGAUGCUCGCGUAACCAAUGAAUUCCCUGCUCUCCAAUUUAUGGGAGAUAAAUGAUCUUUUACCCCUCCAUCCAUCACUCUGGAGGUUCUUAGGGAGAAAUGGUUGCGAUCUCGGGCAAAUAUUAGGUCUGUCGCUAUAAUAGAAACAAAUGCCCCUUUCAGCGAAGAUAGGGGAUCUUGUCCACAUCAGGAAUGUUCCUGGGCAGACUUCUCGGGAUAACACUUAGGGAAGCUAGCCUCAUAUUUCCUAGGUCCACAUUCCAUUGUCAAAAUUUUUUGGUCAGGGACCUGGGAAAGCAGAAGCUAAUAAGGGUUCAUGUCAGUCGCAUUAAACAUCCCAGUGGAGUGAGGGGUUCUUAGACCCAGAAGAGGCCUGUUCAGGUUUGAGUGGGGAAGGUUCAGCUGUGGUGCCAUUGUACGAGUAGACUGUUCUAUCUGGUGCCACUGGCUCAGGUGUACUAUCGACUAUCCCCAUUGCGGCCCCAUUGCCAAUAUCUAUGAGGAAGAGUUAGUACCUGUGAAGUGUGUCCUUGGAAGGUCUUCGGUUGCCAAUAUAUAUAUAUACGGAGUUUGCCGGCCCUAGAAGGGAAGGCAUAAAGUUUGGGGAUUGGCAGUAGUGUUGCGACAAGAAGGGGUCACGAGGUCCAAGCGGCCAAAGCCGCGAGCUGUAAAAGGAGGGCCUGCACAGAGCGAAGACACGGGAGUACUUCACUGGAGCCAGUGUCAACUACAAACAGUAGGCUGACAUUCCGUUGGUUGGUUGGAAACAUUUGUGUCGGGCGACCACUCAUGGCCUGGCUGCCCUCUUCUACCUGGCUUUCAUCAGCACCACUCAGUAACCACUACAACACACUGUAGAUCCAUGGGACUGCUUGCUGAUAAAGGGGAGUAACAUUCUGUAAUCCUUGUGGUAAUUAGUUUCUUUCCAUACUU